CCUGAGGAAGCGUUUUGCCUACGUGGAAAUAAAGCGCACCCUUAAGGAUGCGUUUUAUUGACACGUAAGCAGAAAGCUCCUUCAUGG
rfam:Gossypium hirsutum cultivar TM-1 chromosome 9, whole genome shotgun sequence